rnacentral:rRNA from 1 species
UACGUAGGGUGCAAGCGUUGUCCGGAAUUAUUGGGCGUAAAGAGCUCGUAGGCGGUUUGUUGCGUCGGCUGUGAAAUCCCGAGGCUCAACCUCGGGUCUGCAGUCGAUACGAGCAAACUAGAGUGUUGCAGGGAGACUGGAACUCCUAGUGUAGAGGUGGAAUUCGUAGAUAUCAAGCGGAACACCGGUGGCGAAGGCGGCCUUCUGGACAGUGACUGACGCUGAGACGCGAAAGCGUGGGAGCAAACAGG